GACGAACCGUGCAAACGUUGUUCGGAAUCACUGGGCUUAAAGGGCGCGUAGGCGGGUAAGCAAGUCGGAGGUGAAAUCCCACGGCUCAACCGUGGAAGUGCCCCCGAUACUGCUUGUCUUGAGGGAGAUAGGGGCGUGCGGAACUUCCGGUGGAGCGGUGAAAUGCGUAGAUAUCGGAAGGAACACCGGUGGCGAAAGCGGCGCGCUGGAUCUCUUCUGACGCUGAGGCGCGAAAGCCAGGGGAGCAGACGGG
rnacentral:rRNA from 1 species